rnacentral:rRNA from 1 species
CCUACGGGGGGCAGCAGUGGGGAAUAUUGCACAAUGGGGGAAACCCUGAUGCAGCGACGCCGCGUGAGUGAAGAAGUAAUUAGUUAUGUAAAGCUCUAUCAGCAGGGAAGAAAAUGACGGUACCUGAGUAAGAAGCCCCGGCUAACUACGUGCCAGCAGCCGCGGUAAUAAGUAGGGGGAAAGCGUUAUCCGUAUUUACUGGGUGUAAAGGGAGCGUAGACGGCAGUGCAAGUCUGGAGUGAAAGGCGGGGGCUCAACCCCCGGACUGCUCUGGAAACUGUACGGCUGGAGUGCAGGAGAGGUAAGUGGAAUUCCUAGUGUAGCGGUGAAAUGCGUAGAUAUUAGGAGGAACACCAGUGGCGAAGGCGGCUUACUGGACUGUAACUGACGUUGAGGCUCGAAAGCGUGGGGAGCAAACAGGAUUAGAUACCCCUGUAGUC